AUGGAUGCCUGAAACCGUAGCUGGUUCUGCACCCUAUCCAUACUAUGCUCCCUAUACACACACCUACCUCAGAUAGCUUAAUGUAUAAACUAGGAACAGUGAGAUGCUAGAAACCAUACCUAGGAAAUAGAAUAUCACUGUAACAAAGGUAACAUGAGGUGAUUGUGUCUCCUUUAAAUCAUUGUGUACUUAAAUUUUUUUGGCAUAUCUGAAUUUUCAGAAUCACAAAUAUUGGAAGGAUGAGAUCAUUAUUAAGUAAAAUGAUGAGGGUUUUCUUUUCUGGUUUUAUUAUUAUUAUAUUUGAGACCAGGUCUCACUCUGUAUCUGAAGAUGGCUGGAACACAGGACAACUGUUCUGUCCCAACUUCCCAAGCCCUGGUAUUACAAGCAUAAGAUACCAAACAAAUAAUGCUUUCUUGACCCUAAAACACUAUUGUGCUUUGAGUUGCUUGAUGUGAUUUCCAAGAAGGCUACCAAGUGACUUCGGCCUAGGAGACAAAGUAUGGGUAGACACUGCACGGUAUACUAAACAAAGGCAUCUCUUAUGUUUGGUAAAAUGGACAAAAAUCAAGAUGGCACAAUACCAUGUUACUAAGAAAGAAUGUGACAACACUCAACAAACUGUUCCUCUCUGGAAUGUUCUAUGUAAUAUUUUGGGGUCAUCACUGACAACAAGAAACUCUUAACUAACACUGGAUAUCGACAGCAGAAAGUAAAAAUCAUAUGUGGUUACUACCUUCACCUCUAAAACCUUUCAGCUCUUCAACCUGUGUCUCAACAGGGCUCUUCUUCUCUUCCAAGACACACCAACCUAGCAUUUCCAACCAAGGAAACUAGUAAACAAUUACAGCUUUCAUAUGUCACAAUACAAACUAAACCAGCUAACUUUCAUCUAUGUGAAAACCUAUAUAAUAGACACACAUAGAUGAUAGAUAUCAGAUAGCAUACAUAUAUGUGGAUAUAUAUUAUGUGAUAUCUAUGAAUGUUCAGAAGAAAACUUACUUAAAUGAAUUCAAAAUACUACAGUUAAUUUGAGCAGAGAUUUGAGACCUGGACAGCUCCUACACUCAGAGCAGGUUCUAAAAACACUCACCAUGAUGACUGCAUGCCACUCAGAGAAAACAACUCUAUCGUCCACAGCUGAGUUAAGCAGUAGGGAGCUAGUUAAGGCAUAACCAGUUAGUUGUUUACAGCUAAAUCAUUACUAGGCUACAAGGCUCAGUUACUAUGAUUACGUUCUGUGUUAGGUUGGGUCUAGUGGAAUAAGUGACAGAGCCCAGUUCAAAUCAAUUGCUUUUUGCAACUUUAAAAUCGUGUGUGUGUGUGUGUAUGUGUGUGUGUGUGUGUGUGUGAACAUGCAAACUUUAAUCUAGCCUGGAACCCUAAUACACAUAAAAGCAAUUUGCAAGAGGGUGAGAUGGGAAUAUCCAAGUUCAACGCUGGCCUCCAUUUUGUGGGACUCAUCUCAAAACAAACCAACUCAUGGGGAAAACGAACAUAAACAUUGAAUCUCAAAGUAAAAACACCAGAGCUGUUGGAAUUCUAUGGCUUUGAAGUCUAAACUCAGCAGCAUUUUUUCAAAAUCAAAAGCCAAGCCUACAAGACAUCCAACAAAUGGUCAAUGGAUGCUUAUAGGCAAUACUGAAAAGGAGAGCUAAUAACGUCACCACCUUAUUAGGGAUUGAGGAGGUGAACCAGAAGCCACCGUAAACCCCUGAGGAGGUGUGAGGACUGGAACAAGACCCCUUCACUUCAGGGGUCUUUUCAGCAGGAGUCCAUGAGGCAGCCACAACAUCUAUGCAGAUGAGGCCAUGUCUCCCAGGUGUCUCACCACCACACUAUGUUAAAUGUGAGUUAAGUCUAUGAAAACACUGAAGAAAAACUUAAACCAUCACAUUUUUACUUACAUAUGCAAGCUUACAAUUUUUAGAAUGUUUCAAAGCAACAGUAACCAAGAGGCCACAGAGUAUUUUUUUUUCCUACAAUAAUGUUAUUCCCCUUCCCCCUAACAUCUUAUGUUACAAUAUAAUAAUACCUGUGAUUAGGCAUUCCUUGAAGAAAAGAGGCCUGUUUAGCACCAGCUACAGAGACUAAAAGCCUGAGCUCAGGGCAGCCCUGUAUGUUCACCAGGUGAAGGCUUGCUAGCCGCACCAAAAGGCACAGGUAGCAAAGUAGGAGACCAUAAGACAUGGAGCAGAAGGCAAGCAGAGAAAGCCAGGCUCACUUUACAACAGUAUUCUGUACCCAUAACCAACCCACUCCCGUUAAUCCCCCUUAAUGACCUUGUCACACCUCUUAAAGGCACCGCACCACCAAUUCCGUUAUGUAGGGGAGGGGGGCAAAGUUUCAAACUUAGGAAUCUCCACAAGAUCUAAACUAUAUAAACUAUAGAACUCUGUUAACCAUUCAGCACCCAUAUGUUAAAACGUAGAUUACUAUUACCUUAGUCAGAAGGCAUUCAAAUCAAUUAACACAGUGAGCAGGCACCCCAGACCUCAGGUUUUACUAAUUGGCUCAGUAACUCAAGCAAAGAGCUUCCUCCUCCCCACCCCCACCCCCACCCUUGUAAAAUAUGAAGCUGCAUUGAUUUGCCCUUCAAAUAACCUGUUACAACAGAGUAAACCUUGGAAAAUUACAGACAACAGAGGACUUCUUUUGAACAACAAUAUCCACGGAUAAGAACUAAAGUAGGCCUCACCAGCUAUUAGGCUAUUGAGUCAUGAUAUAAUUAGUUCUAUAGUAAGGAACCUACCUUCAAAACCAACAAUUAUAUCAUAUUAGGAUUGCACCCUGCACCUCCUAAAUACUCUCAUUUUCCCACAAUUUAAACUUUUUUAAAGGUCUCAAUUUUUUUUUUUUUUUUUUUUUUUUAGAAAAAGCAAACACUAAUCCUGAAUACUCAUCAGACAUGACAGGCACUUGGAAUAGACAAGUGGGAGAGGGCAAGCCACUAGAAGCUCUUUUUUUUUUUCUUAAAAGAAUACUAUUAGGUAUUAUGGCAGUUUAUUUACAGGAGCAUUUUCCCAGAUAUCUUCCCUGAAGUUUGAAAGGUAAGCACAAAGGUUCUUUAAAAUAUUUUCCUCUUUAGGGUGCAGUGGUGUAUUCCUGUAACCUCAAUUUUGGGAGGCAGAAACAAGAGGUAACCCUCAACUAUAAAUGCAGUUGCAGACCAGCCUAGCCUAAAGGAGUCGCUGCCAAAUAAAUAAAUAAAUAAAUAAAGUCAUCAAGCAAUUAAAUAUAUGCAUACUUUCAAGGAACUCAUUUGUUUAGCCCCCAAGUUCUCAAGCAUAAAACCCGGGGUAUUCUAGGCUUGUCACUAGAAAGCUCUAUAUUUCAUCACCGAGCUCUCCGGCCUCACCUAUUUUGUUUAGAAGAACCGAUUCCUGAGCAUCUGAGACUGCGUGUUGUGUAAGUGUAUUACACAGACACACACGGGAAUUCUCUGCUGUUUUCUGAGAGUCUAAUUCAGUUUUGUGUGAAAGCUUGUAUGACAUUAACUUACAUUAAUCCACAGCUCUGUCUCCAGGCCUUGCUUUACCUCAUCCUACCGACACACUUACUCUCCAUACGGUAAAAAUAUAUGGAAGGAGACACAUUAGUAUCUAAACGGUGGAAAGCCGCCCCCCCAAGAAAAAAGUAGCGCUCUACAGCAAUAGGGGAUAUUUGCAUGGAGGAGAUCGAAAUUUAGAGGAAAAAAGAACGAAUUCAUACACUGCAUGUUUCCUCUAUGUAAGCAUUACACUAAAUAUCUGUUAGAUUAGUCAUGUUGCCUUGAGACUCUUCCAUGUUUCCUCUAGACAACUGCCAAUGCUCGCAUGGCCUCUGAUGAAUAAACAUGCUGUGACUUGCUCCUAAGGAAACGCCUGUCAUGUUCCAGGGAAAAAUGACUUCUUCACUCUUAAACCAGGGGAAAAAAAAAAAAAAGAACGACUUUCAUUCAUUGCUUACAAAGUCGCCUGUUCCUUAAUGUUCCAAUUUCCGGAAUUUUCAUACUCUGCUUAAGGCAUUUCUAGGUUCUGAUUAACAAAGAAAAAGAGAAACUGGGGGUGCUUUAUGGCAAAGAGGCUACAUGACAGCAGUGAGGCGGUCUCACCUAGGACAGGGUUGUGUAGCUUGACCAUUUACUACGACAAAGGUUAUUCUCAAGUUCUCCUUGGCCCUUGCAGGACUACCUGUUCCCACCACUGUUUACCCAAACGUUUAACAGAGUGAUGUUUAGCAUAUUUGGCAGGAAGGCAUGCUUCAUUUAAUAUUAACUCACCAUGUGACAGCCCCUUCCCUUCCAAUCGCUCCUCAAACACGUGACGGUAAAAAAAAAAAAAAAAAAGUAUAGGUGUUUGCCAAUGCGACUGACUUCGCACUCGGCUUUGGCAUCACCAAUUGGCCAGAAGCACAUACACACACACACCCCCAGUCAGAGGCGAGCACCCCGCCUGCUCCCGGAACUGUCAAGCCGGGCUGACAGCUGGCACACCUUGCUGCGCCCUCCGUGGACUUUCAGGAAGCCCCUUCCUUGCAGUCACCUUGACAGAAACCAUCCUCCUGGGCUGGAGCGCUUGGCUGUGGAAACUUUUCCUUCCUUUCCCGGAGCGCGCUUACAGGUUUAAGCUCGUCCAGUCUUCCCAGACAUGCCUCUCUUGAUGUAAACAGCCAACAGCUGGGAUUUGAGGACUGGACGUUCUCAUGAUGACAGUCUAUAAGCUAAGAAAGAACAGCAGAGAUUUAGUGGCCUCCUGGAAGUUUCACAGGAAUAAAGGAAUCUCAGACAGUGCUUGCUUGUUUGUAGUUUCGGUUCCUGCAAGAGUUCUUCUCAGAGGAGACGUGCCACCUGACAACCGGGUGCAUAUUGUCUCCUUACCCUUAGACCCUUGCCAACUGUUUUAAAGUAAAUCAUAUUGAUGAGUCCAAAAGCGAACAUCAGGAAAUAAUGCUAAAUUAAAAAUAUAUAAAUGGAUACCUCAAGUGGCAAAUCUGUAGGCAUAAAAACAUGAUGUAGGAUAACAAAGGACUUAACAUUUUUGGUUCACAUUAAAAUUAAACUAGUAUUUAUAACCCGUGCUUAAUUAAAGGUUCUUUGUUGCUCAUUCAUUACAACCACCACCAAUAAUUUCUGGAACCAAAAGUACUAACUACUACUCCACAUAAUUGGAUUUUGUCUCUUUCCUCUCCCUUGUGGUGAAUAUGGUCUCAGUACAUCUUUGAAUAUGAAAUGGAGGUGAAGAUCGUGGUGACUUCUGCGAUGACUGUGUUAGAACUCUAUCAUUAAAAGUUGCUUUUAAAUAAUUUGACUAA